UUGAUUGCAUUCUCACGCAAUUUUUCAUAAAAUCAAGACAUGAUUCUCCAUUUCAUUCCUUUACCUGCGUUUAUGUCAGCUCUUCUGGAAAUUUAUCAGUGGGAGUCUUGAGAGAAAGCCGACUGGUGCGUUGCCAUGUUCUUCAGCGAUGUCUCUCAUCACAAGGUGCGUCGCCAAGAAACGCUUAAAAGCUCGGCAUGACCCUGCACCCUCACCUCAUCAAGACCGCACUUGCUGGCGACCCGUUCAUCGUCAACCAUCUCAUUGGUAUGUACUCCAAAUGCUCUUCCAUCCGAAGCGCCCACAAGGCUUUUGAUGAUCUUGAUACAGAGAACGGUUACUCUUGGGACACCAUCAUUAUAUGGAUUAGCCGGAAUAGGCGAUUUCAAGAAAGCGCUCGACUUGUUCGAUGAAAUGCCGCAAAGGGCUCUUGUCUCUUAUAAUUCCUUGAUUCCUGGGUCGUCACGUCAUGGGUCUUAUGCGGAGUCUCCGAGAAUCAGGUCACACGCUUCCCAUUCCCCUUGAAGAUCACUCUCCAACAGCCCAAAUUUCUCUCUCUCUCGAGCCAUGUUUGCCCAGAACCACAUCUUCUCUCUUGCUCCCAAAUCCCACAACCCUGUUGAGAAGAGCAGAGAUCUUGAGUUUGAAUUCGGGGUUCCGUGUAGAAUGAGAAACCACCACAGCGGAAACUAUCCUGAUUUGCUUACUCUGUGGAAGCGCGAAAACAUGUCGGUAAGAGUAGCCAAAGAUGUGGACACGUCCCCACUACUUCCCCAAGAUCAUCACUACAGCAAUCUCUCUCCUUUGCUGAGGAUGCAGAGGAUCAAAGAAGGAAGAAGAGAGAUGAUGGAGAUGAUCCAGAACUUGCCUGAGUUGAGUAACUAGCUUUCCUUCAAGGAUAUUGUGGAUGAGAAGCUAUGUUUGCAGAAGAAUCAAGAGGAGUAAGAGGACAAUUUUGAAUUUCCAAGGGCUGAGGCAGAGUCAAAUAAAAAACAGGUGGAAAAAGAGGAAGAAAGUCACAAACGCCGCUAGUCAUCAGCAUCAUCAGGUGUCAAGAUGUAAUGGCAUGGAAACCAGAACUUUCCUGAUCAAGAUGUUUUCCCCUUCUUUCUUGGGAAACCCGCAGCAUCAUGGAACAGUAGAUCCCAGAUUUCGCCAAGGAUGUUGUUCGAGGGGCCUGAUCAGAGAAAUUCGGACAUGGUGUCAAGGAUUAAAAUGAGUCCUCAUGUGAAAGAUCAGGGGAGCCGCGACCGAGAUAGAACUGAAAGCAGUACCAGCAGGAGCAAGGGCUAUUCAAGCAGGUAAGAACUUGAAUUUUUUUCAAUACAACAUUCGAUCUGUUGAUUUUCAGUUAUUCGCCUUUCUGCUGACUCAGUAAUUUCCUAAGCAUAUUGCAAGAAAAGGCAAUACUUAUUGUAGAAAUUGCACAUUGUUUCAUUUGGGUUAAGAAAAAUCGUACCCUUAUAACCCCAAAACAGAAUUUCCACUUGUUAGUCUGAAAUAACAUGCUGAUAUGGUUUGCAGA